CUACGGGGGGCACCAGGGAAUAUUGCACAAUGGACGGAAGUCUGAUGCAGCGACGCCGCGUGGAGGAUGACGCAUUUCGGUGUGUAAACUCCUUUUAUAUGUCAAGAAAAUGACGGUAGCAUAUGAAUAAGCACCGGCUAACUCCGUGCCAGCAGCCGCGGUAAUACGGAGGGUGCAAGCGUUACUCGGAAUCACUGGGCGUAAAGGACGCGUAGGCGGGUUGGAAAGUCAGGUGUGAAAUCCUACAGCUUAACUGUAGAACUGCACUUGAAACUUCUAAUCUAGAGUAUGGGAGGGGGAGAUGGAAUUAGUGGUGUAGGGGUAAAAUCCGUAGAUAUCACUAGGAAUACCUAAAGCGAAGGCGAUCUCCUGGAACAUUACUGACGCUAAGGCGUGAAAGCGUGGGGAGCAAACAGGAUUAGAUACCCCAGUAGUC
rnacentral:rRNA from 1 species